CCAACAAUCGCCCACCAGGUUUCCUUUUAGGAUAUUUUGGUUUCCGAGGGCAGAUAAGUGCAGAGAAGUUCUUUCUUUCUCAGCACUAGCUGCUGUUAUUGUUUCUGUUUCAACGACCUCUUUCUCUUCCCGCUGUGUCAAUUACCACAGGCUGCUCUUAAAAGGCAAAGGCCCCCGUUGUUCUCUGGCAGGGAAGGGGAAUUUGUAAAUAGAGUUCAGGAAUGUCAAAAAGGAUGACCCAGAUUUGCAGCCCUAGAGGAAAAACUAGUUCAUUGUGUGUCCUAUGCAAUCACCGGAAGGUAGCCUGUUCUUGCCGUGGGGAACAGGUGGGCAGAAAGGUUAAUUUCAAGGAAACAGAUAUCAUUAAUGAGGAAGACUCAUUUAGGGACCUAAGCCAAGCAAGUAUCUUUAUCCCAACUCCUCACAUUGCAAUCUCUCUGAAAUGCCUGCCCAUUGGUCUUCAACCGAGGAAAGUGCUGCGUUGACUUUUCUCCAGAUUGACAAUCAAAUUAACGCUACAAAAGGAAAAAAGGUAUCAUACCCAGAUAUAAACAGGCCUGAGUUGUCUGUCAUCUUUCUUCAAAGACUUGGUGCUCACGAAAUUUAUUUUUGAUUCCUUCUGAAGACUUAAAGAUGGGGAAAUGAAGGUGACAUGACUAACAGUAAGUGGCAAAGAAGCCACUAGAACCCAGUCCCUUGACUCCCAGAUGAGUGCUCCUCUAUGCCGUCCCUCAUGAGGACACAGUUUACAGCAGUUGGGAUAAGGCUCACCUGGACUUUCACUUUGGAAGGAUGGUCAUGAGGGUAAACACAGACUUACAAAAUAAAAUAAAGAAGUUGAGACGAAAGUGAGGCUGUGCCUAAGUGACGACAUAAACAAUGGGGCCAGCUGCGAGCACACAGAGGCUGCCAACAGACCACUCGUGCCACAUGCAAGUCUGUGCACAGGCGUGGAAGAACCUAGUUCCUGAAAUAUUAAUGUAAUCAUUUAAUUACAAGUCAUCCUUACGGGGAGCCUUGGGAACCCAUUUGGAUUAGAAGACUCAUGUUGAAAUAUGCUUUAAACACAUCAAUCAGUAAGCUUUGCUUUUAAAGGAUCAGUGAAGUGUGGUAUGCUCCAAGUUGCCAUAUGAUUAAUGUAUAACAUCUGUAGGCCCAUUGGAUGGACAUCUUUUUCUAGUACCUUUUUCUUCUUGGGUACUCUAUUCAAAGCUGGAGGAUCAUUCCAACCAUUCUGAGGACCUGAAAUAGACAACAGAGGACAUUUUCCUUUAGAAUCCUGAGAGGAAGAAAACGCAGUCGAAUCCCUCAUAUGACACUUUGAAAUUCUGCCUUAACCCUGAGAUGACUGUCACAGAGAUUUUACCAGCCAAGUUGUGGGGAUCACUACGUAGCCCUGAAUCCUCACUUUCACCGCUCUAAUUGUCACAAAGCUUUGGCUCAGUGGAUAAGAUACCUUGACAUUAUUUCCAUUUAAAGCAAAAGGACUAUGCUAAAUUGAAGGAUGGUGAAGUCUUUGUCUAUAUUGGUA